UACGUAGGGGGCAAGCGUUGUCCGGAAUCAUUGGGCGUAAAGCGCGCGUAGGCGGCCCGGUAAGUCCGCUGUGAAAGUCAAAGGCUCAACCUUUGAAUGUCAGCGGAUACUGCCGGGCUAGAGUCCGGAAGAGGCGAGUGGAACUCCUGGUGUAGCGGUGGAAUGCGCAGAUAUCAGGAGGAACACCAAUGGCGAAGGCAGCUCGCUGGGACGUGACUGACGCUGAGACGCGAAAGCGUGGGGAGCAAACAGG
rnacentral:rRNA from 1 species